CACAGACUUACAGUGGGGUUUCUCAUUCCCUUUAAUGGGCCACCCCCAGAAGCUGCUUUUUAUUUUUGAUUUUAGUUUACAAGUGGAUACCAUAGAGAAAUCUAUCUCCAUAGAGGCAUUGACUGUAGAGACAUUAAUCUUAUGGUUAAAAGGAUCUCACUGGAAAUGAUAGGCUCUGUGUUUUAGAGAAAGCCACUGCCACAUUUCUGUAUAAUCUCUAGCCAGAUGCUGCUUGGAGAUAUCACACAUUCAAGCUAUUACAGCAGGUAGAAUUAGUAUAUUAUUGAAAAAUGUAGAAUACUUUGUUAGCAGAGUGCAUUAAGGUUUGGAGAAGUAUGAAAUGGCAUACACAUAGCUUUGUAUAGGUCACAGUUGUUGUUUCUUUGUGUGUGUGUGUAUGUGUGUGUGUGUUCCUGGUACCCUGUUUCUUUGUGGAAAUCAAAGACUCACAUUUGUGUUUUAAUUUUUGUUGAUGUAGGAGCAGCUAGGGCUAGGAAGAUGGGAAAAAGGACAAAAAUAUCGAGCAUUUCAGGAACUUGAAUCAAAGCCAGGACCGCAGUGGAGCUUGGUGAUGAAGGACUUCGGGUUUCUUCAGCUAUAGGCAUCUUUCUCCACUGUUUUCUCUUUCUGUGUUUUAUGCCCAAACAGCCUCUUCUGUAUUUUUCAUACCAGUUGUGAUCGAUGGAUGACUUUCCUGGGGGCUGUACACAUCAAACCUUUGCCCUAGCAGAUGGCGUUUGUGUUGGGUGACUAUUGGUGUCUUCCAGGGACUGUAUAACUUUCCACAGGGGCCACUGCUCACUCUGUCUACAUGUUGUUUGUGUUUAGAACAGCUAGAGCUUGAAAGACAGAAGAAAGAUAAAAAAAAAAAAGUCACAUGAAAGCAUCCUCUGUUUCUCUUCUGAAAGAAUUAAAAAUGAACAGAUGUAAAGCUCAAGUCAGUUCCCCGUAAAGAAAACAGAUCCCUGGAAAGGGGCCUUUAAAUGCACUAUGGACAGAGUAUGCAGCUUUGUGUAGGGACCACAAGAUUGUCCUUUGCCAUAGCCAGGAAUAUGCUCCGGAGACUUUCAGGUCUCACACCUCAGGUUUUGCUGCUGUGCUGUAUGCCAGCUGGUGAUUAGUGCGAAUGCUUGUCACUUCCAGACAGGUUUGGGGAUGUCAUUUCUGCAUGUGGCACCUCUCCUAAGCAAAUGAAAGAGUUGGUAGUAAAGCUGGGCCACAGGUUCGAUACUACCCUACUAUGUAAGGAGCAAACUACUUCCAACUUCUCAAUAUGCAAUUUACACUAACCUUUUCUUUAUUUUGGCAGUUUCUCUUCUCUUCUCUCUCUCUCUCUCCCUCUCUCUCUCUCUCUCUGUGUAUAUAUAUAUAUAUAUAUAUAUAUAUAUAUAUACUUUCUAAAAUAAUUAGUUUCACGCUGUCACAGUUUUCCUACAUGAAACUCUCUAUAUUUCCCUUUGGUCGUUUGUAAAGAAAUGUCCCUUUUCCUUUUUUCCUAAUGACAUCGUUCUUAAAAACAGAGAUGGUAAUAGAACCGUGGAAUUUGCGUUAUACUUCCUGCUCUGGGUAGCAAACUCGUAGGUAUCUAGUCCUAUGGGCAGGACGUCACUGUUGUGUAUCCUGGCUGGGACCCUUGCUUCUCUACACAGGGUGACUGCAUGAUGAACCACAGGCUUGACCCCUCCCCCCCUUUUCUUUGCCCCUGGACUUCUGCCCGGUUGAUGUGGCGAGCCUUGGAACAAAGACCCCUUUCAGCUGUGAGUGUUCACAGGAGUGGCCCCGGGCUUCCAGCUUGUUACAGCUCUGUUCUGAAGAUGAUCAAAUCAGUACAUCCAGGUUAUGGGGAGCACGGAAACACUCAUUCCCAGCCACACAUUGGUGGGGCUCGUCCCAACGGGAUCAAGACAGCCAGUGGCUUCUGCUCAGCAGCACCUCAGUGGCCCACACUCCGUUAGAAAACAGAACACACAAACUGGAAUUCAAGCCUUCACUUACCCCCACCCCCUAAAUUUCAUCUGUGAACAGCCCGAUAUGAAAUCAUUUUCUUUUUGCACUGACCUGACUCAUAGAAGGUGAAGCCUGCUUUUCAGAAGUGGGGUUUGGCAAGGGAAGGAGACAGGAAAUCCAGGGGAGAAUGAGUUGCUAAGCCUGGCUCCCUCCAGCCUUUGCUACUUCCUCUGCCCGGGUGGAGGGGAGGGCCCUGACUCUUGGCACCUGGGAGCAGAGAGAGUUCAGAAGGUUGGUAAUGGCCACUUGGUCUAUAUGCAAAACAAAUGCAUGUGUGCACUUUACAGAAGGGAUGAACGUGAGGGGCAGAAGGAAAAUCCUCCGCUCUGGAAGAAGCAGGAAUAAAGCCAGUUCACCACGCAGAUUCUCGAGCCUGUGAGGCAGGGGCCUCAUGCCUUGCUCAUGCUCCAUGGCAUGAUUCAUUUACCUGCGUUAAGAGUGAUCUACUCACCUCCUGUCACAGUGCCAGACAGUUUUUUUUUUUUUUUUUAAGUGACAAGAGCAAAUCAUUGUUAGGAGCACAUGCUGAAGCCAAAGGUGUAUGUUCCUAACAAACAAAAGAACCCUGGAACCUGACACCUUACACGAAAAAGAGCUUGGCGGAAGAGAUUGAGUUAAGGAUCUUGAGAUGGGAGACGAUCCUGUUUUAUCACGACAGACAUUAUAUGCAAUGGAGAGUUUUUAUUUGGAAUAAAAGUGUUGGCCAGAGGAGGAAUUGCGAUGAUAUAAGGAGAGUUGAAACCAUGUAGCUCAGAGCCAGGGAAGUGGGUUUUCCACUGAGAGAACAGAUGGGAUACUGUAUUCUCUAGGCAGGCAAAGACAGGACACCCCUGAGCACCUUGAAUUGAGCUCACUGAGAACCAUUUUGGUCUUUCCAACCUUUGUAAAUAUAGUACAUUUGUGACAUUAAAAUUAUUUUUAUGUGUA